rfam:Eutrema salsugineum unplaced genomic scaffold scaffold_15, whole genome shotgun sequence.
AAACCAUGAUGAGGGCAGUCUCUCUCAUAUUCCUUGAAUUGCUCCCACGCCUCAUAGAAUAAUUUUAUUGGGCCUUAUUGAAAACCUUGUAUCUUGUUUCUCAGCU